rnacentral:rRNA from 1 species
GACGCACGCUGGCGGCGUGCCUAAUACAUGCAAGUCGAACGCAGUGGGGACGGGUGAGUAACACGUGGGUAACCUCCCAUCAGAGGGGAUAACACUUGGAAACAGGUGCUAAACCGAUAUUGAUGGAUGGACCCGCGGUGCAUUAGCUGGUUGGUGAGGUACCGGCUCACCAAGGCCACGAUGCAUAGCCGCCCUGAGGGGGUGAUAGGCCACAUUGGGACUGAGACACGGCCCAGACCCUGACGGGAGGAAGUGGUGGGGAAUCUGCGGAAAUGGACGAAAGUCUGACCGAGCAUCGCCGGGUGAGUGAAGAAGGUUUGCGGAUCGUAAAACUUUGUUGUGAGAGAAGCGGGAUCGACCAGAAAGCCACGGCUAACUACGUGCCAGCAGCCGCGGUAAUAC